UACGUAGGGAGCAAGCGUUGUCCGGAAUCAUUGGGCGUAAAGCGCGCGUAGGUGGCUUCGUAAGUCCGUUGUGAAAGUCAAAGGCUCAACCUUUGAAAGCCGAUGGAUACUGCGGAGCUAGAGUACGGAAGAGGCGAGUGGAAUUCCUGGUGUAGCGGUGGAAUGCGCAGAUAUCGAGGAGGAACACCAAUAGCGAAGGCAGCUCGCUGGGACGUUACUGACACUGAGGCGCGAAAGCGUGGGGAGC
rnacentral:rRNA from 1 species